rnacentral:tRNA from 1 species
GGAGAAAUGGCUCUGUGGUAGAGAGCACUGGCUGCCCUCUCCAGAGGACCUGGGUUCAAUUCCCAGCUACCACA